UUUUGACCUCGAAUCAGGUGGGACUACCCGCUGAACUUAAGCAUAUCAAUAAGCGGAGGAAAAGAAACUAACAAGGAUUCCCCUAGUAACGGCGAGUGAAGUGGGAUGAGCUCAAAUUUAAAAUCUGGUAGUCUUUGGCUGCCCGAGUUGUAAUCUAGAGAAGUGUUUUCUGUGCUGGACUGUGUUCAAGUUUCCUGGAUAUGGAACAUCAUAGAGGGUGAGAAUCCCGUCUUUGGCACAGACUCCCAGUGCUCUGUGAUGCACUCUCAACGAGUCGAGUUGUUUGGGAUUGCAG
rnacentral:rRNA from 1 species